rnacentral:tRNA from 1 species
GGAGUAGCUCAGUUGGAUUAGAGCAUCGGAUUGUGGCUCCGAAGGUCGGGGGUUCGAGUCUCCUCU